GACGAACCGUGCGAACGUUAUUCGGAAUCACUGGGCUUAAAGGGCGCGUAGGCGGUCGAUCAAGUCAGGGGUGAAAUCCUGCAGCUUAACUGUAGAAGUGCCUUUGAUACUGGUCGUCUCGAGGGAGGUAGGGGUGUGUGGAACUUCCAGUGGAGCGGUGAAAUGCGUUGAUAUUGGAAGGAACGCCGGAGGCGAAAGCGACGCACUGGACCUCUUCUGACGCUGAGGCGCGAAAGCUAGGGGAGCAAACGGG
rnacentral:rRNA from 1 species